rnacentral:tRNA from 1 species
GGCGCCGAUCGCGGCCCGGACGUCGGGAUCGGUGACGACGAUCCACUGCCACCCCUGUCGGUUCGAGCCCGACGGCGCCU